rnacentral:rRNA from 1 species
CCGUGAUCUGAAAUCAACCGAGACUACCCGCUGAACUUAAGCAUAUCAAUAAGCGGA